AUUGGUGCUUGCACCAGAUGACGAGUGGCGCACGGGUGCGUAACGCGUAUGCAAUCUACCUUUUACUAGAGUAUAGCCCAGAGAAAUUUGGAUUAAUCCUCUAUAAUAUCUUUAAGUUUCAUGACUUUUAGAUUAAAGUUUUAACGGUAAAAGAUGAGCAUGCGUCCUAUUAGUUUGUAGGUGAGGUAACGGCUCACCUAGGCUACGAUAGGUAGGGGCCCUGAGAGGGGGAUCCCCCACACUGGUACUGAGACACGGACCAGACUCCUACGGGAGGCAGCAGUAAGGAAUAUUGGACAAUGGACGAAAGUCUGAUCCAGCCAUGCCGCGUGCAGGAUGAAAGCCCUAUGGGUUGUAAACUGCUUUUAUACAGGAAGAAACACUCGUACGUGUACGAGCUUGACGGUACUGUAAGAAUAAGGACCGGCUAACUCCGUGCCAGCAGCCGCGGUAAUACGGAGGGUCCGAGCGUUAUCCGGAAUCAUUGGGUUUAAAGGGUCCGC
rnacentral:rRNA from 1 species